rnacentral:rRNA from 1 species
UAUUUUGACUAUACAAAGGUAUUGUAAUAAGACUUUAAUUGAGUGCUAAAAGAAUGGACUUUCAAAAAAAUUCUUUUUUGAAUUUAAAAAUUGAAGUUAUUUUUAUUUGUGAAGAAACAAUAAUAAAAAUUAAAGACAAGAAGACCCUAAGAAUUUUUAUAAAUUUAUUAUACAAAUAUGUUUAUAUAAUAAAUUUAUUUAAUUGGGGCGAUUAAAAAAUAUUUUUAACUUUUUUUAAAAAAAAAUGAUCCAUUAAUAAUGAUUUCAUGAAAUAAAUACUCUAGGGAUAACAGCGUAAUAAUUUUAGAUAGACCUAAUAGAAAAAAUAGUUUGCGACCUCGAUGUUGGAUUAGGAUUCUUAUUUAAUGAAGAAGUUAAAAAAAGAAGUUUGUUCAACUUUUAAAUUCCU